rnacentral:rRNA from 1 species
UACGUAGGGUCCGAGCGUUGUCCGGAAUUACUGGGCGUAAAGGGCUCGUAGGCGGCCAACUAAGUCAGACGUGAAAUCCCUCGGCUUAACCGGGGAACUGCGUCUGAUACUGGAUGGCUUGAGGUUGGGAGAGGGAUGCGGAAUUCCAGGUGUAGCGGUGAAAUGCGUAGAUAUCUGGAGGAACACCGGUGGCGAAGGCGGCAUCCUGGACCAAUUCUGACGCUGAGGAGCGAAAGCCAGGGGAGCAAACGGG